rnacentral:rRNA from 1 species
ACACGACUACAUUAGAUACCCGCGUAGUCCCAGCCCUAAACGAUGCGCGUUAGGUGUAUCGGUGACCACGAGUCACCGAGGUGCCGAAGGGAAACCGUGGAACGUGCCGCCUGGGAAGUACGGUCGCAAGGCUGAAACUUAAAGGAAUUGGCGGGGGAGCACAACAACGGGUGGAGCUUGCGGUUUAAUUGGAUUCAACGCCGGAAAUCUUACCGGGACCGACAGCAACAUGAAGGCCAAGCUGAAGACUUUGCCGGAUUAGCUG